GACGAACGCUGGCGGCGUGCUUAACACAUGCCAGUCGAACGGUAAGGCCCCAGCUUGCUGGGGUACACGAGUGGCGAACGGGUGAGUAACACGUGGGUGACCUGCCCCGCACUUCGGGAUAAGCCUGGGAAACUGGGUCUAAUACCGGAUAGGACCGCACCGUGAGGGUGUGGUGGAAAGUUUUUCGGUGUGGGAUGGGCCCGCGGCCUAUCAGCUUGUUGGUGGGGUAAUGGCCUACCAAGGCGGCGACGGGUAGCCGGCCUGAGAGGGUGGACGGCCACAUUGGGACUGAGACACGACACAGACUCCUACGGGAGGCAGCAGUGGGGAAUAUUGCACAAUGGGCGGAAGCCUGAUGCAGCGACGCCGCGUGGGGGAUGACGGCCUUCGGGUUGUAAACUCCUUUCACCAUCGACGAAGGUUUUCUGACGGUAGAUGGAGAAGAAGCACCGGCUAACUACGUG
rnacentral:rRNA from 1 species